rnacentral:rRNA from 1 species
ACUCCUACGGGAGGCAGCAGUGGGAAUAUUGCACAAUGGGCGCAAGCCUGAUGCAGCCAUGCCGCGUGUAUGAAGAAGGCCUUCGGGUUGUAAAGUACUUUCAGCAGUGAGGAAGGUGGGUGUGUUAAUAGCGAUACUUCAUUGACGUUAGCUGCAGAAGAAGCACCGGCUAACUCCGUGCCAGCAGCCGCGGUAAUACGGAGGGUGCGAGCGUUAAUCGGAAUUACUGGGCGUAAAGCGCAUGCAGGCGGCCUUGUUAAGUCAGAUGUGAAAGCCC